rnacentral:misc_RNA from 1 species
AACAUCGCGCACCUGCGGGAACCUGCGGAAGGAUCAUUACAGAGUUGCAAAACUCCCUAAACCAUUGUGAACGUUACCUAAACCGUUGCUUCGGCGGGCGGCCCGGGUCCUUCCCGGCGCCCAUCGGCCCUCGCGGGCGCCCGCCGGAGGUAAACCAAACUAUUGCAUUGUAUGGCCUCUCUGAGUCUUCUGUACUGAAUAAGUCAGAACUUUUAACAAUGGAUCUCAGAUCGGAAGAGC